GUUGGUGAACCAGCGGAGGGAUCAUUAAAGAGUUGCAAAACUCCCACAACCAUCGCGAACGUUACCCGUAACCGUUGCCUCGGCGGCGCCGGCCCCCCUGGGGCUGCCCGCCGGCGGUACCCCAAACGCUGUCUUUGUAGGCCUCUCUGAGUAACUUAUCAAAUAAGUCAAAACUUUUAACAACGGAUCUCUUGGUUCUGGCAUCGAUGAAGAACGCAGCAUCUGACUGACUGGAGAAUGUGAUAUCUCG
rnacentral:misc_RNA from 1 species